rnacentral:rRNA from 1 species
AGCGAACGCUGGCGGCAGGCCUAACACAUGCAAGUCGAACGAACCUUUCGGGGUUAGUGGCGGACGGGGGAGUAACACGUGGGAACGUGCCUUUAGGUUCGGAAUAACUCAGGGAAACUUGUGCUAAUACCGAAUGUGCCCUUCGGGGGAAAGAUUUAUCGCCUUUAGAGCGGCCCGCGUCUGAUUAGCUAGUUGGUUGAGGUAAUGGCUCACCAAGGCGACGAUCAGUAGCUGGUCUGAGAGGAUGAUCAGCCACAUUGGGACUGAGACACGGCCCAAACUCCUACGGGAGGAAGGAGUGGGGAAUCUUGCGCAAUGGGCGAAAGCAUGACGCAGCCAUGCUGCGUGAAUGGUGAAGGUCUUAGGAUUGUAAAAUUCUUUGAACGGAGACGAUAAUGACGGUACCCGGAGAAGAAGCCCCGGCUAACUUCGUG